rnacentral:lncRNA from 1 species
CUCCUCCUUUCAGUAGCUCGGCAAUAUCUCCUCCUUUGAAUAUUUUGAACUUGGAAGUGUAUAACAAUCUAUCUAUCGUAUCGUCUCUGUCCAAAAGAAAAAAAUUCUCCCCGAGUUUGAUUUCGGUUCUCAUAUUUAUAAUGGGAGGGGUGGUGAGAGAUAUUUUGAGGGAUUCGAAAUUCGAAUUUGAAUUUUGAAUAGGUUGUUGGGGUUGGUUGAAAGAUAUUUGGGAUUUUGUUGAGAAUUCGAAAUUCGAAAUCGAAUUUUGAAUGGGUUGUUGGAUGGUUGGAGGGUAUUUUGGAAAUUGGUUGGAAUUCAAAAUUCGAAAUUUGAAUUUUGAAUGGGUUGUUGGAGGAUAUUUUGGGAAUUGGUUAGGAAUUCAAAAUUCGAAAUUUGAAUUUUGAAUGGGUUGUUGGAGGAUAUUUUGGAAAUUGGUUUGGGAAUUCGAAAUUCGAAAUCGAAUUUUGAAUGGGUUGUUGGAGGAUAUUUUGGUAGUUGGUUGGGAAUUCGAAAUUCAAAAUCGAAUUUUGAAUGGAUUGUUGGAGGAUAUUUUGGAAAUUGGUUGGGAAUUCGAAAUUCGAAAUCGAAUUUUGAAUGGGUUGUUGGAGGAUAUUUUGGGAAUUGGUUAGGGAUUCGAAAUUCGAAAUCGAAUUUUCAAUGGGUUGUUGGAUAAUUGAAGGAUAUUUUGGUGAGUCGGUUAGGGAUUCGAAAUUCGAAAUCGAAUUUUGAAUGGGUUGUUGGAUGGUUGAAGGAUAUUUUGGUGAGUUGGUUAGAGAUUCGAAAUUCGAAAUCAAAUUUUGAAUGGGUUGUUAGAUUGUUGAAGGAUAUUUUUGGGAGUCGGUUAGGGAUUCAAAAUUCGAAUGGAUGUUGGUUGGGGAUUCGAAAUUCAAAAUUGAAUUUUGAAUGGGUUGUGGGAUGGAUAGGUAUUCAAAAUUCGAAUGAUUGUUGGUUGAGAGAUAUUUUGGGCGUUGGUUCGAAGUUCGAAAUCGAAUUUCGAAUAGGGUUAUUAGGAUAACAGAUAUUUUCUGGGGGUUUAAAAAUUUAAAAUCGAAUUUGAAUAUGAUAUUCGAAAUUGAAUUUUCAAACGUGGGUGAAAAUGUGGGCCGUGAUUCCAUGAAUUGGGCUGAAAUUGGGCCCACUUUGAUGAAACUUGUUGGGCACAAUUAUUUAUUGGGCUGAGAUGAGGCCCGAAUUAUUGUAAUAGGCCUAAAAUUUUAAAGGGCUUUCUUGAGGCCCAUUAAUUUACAUUUAUGAAUGGGCCUAUUGUGGACUUUAAAUUGUAAUUAUUGGUCCCAAAAUUUUCUGGUUAAUAUGAGACCUAUCAAAAUUGUUUGAGUCUGAAUCUAAUCGGUUUCAAUUAUGAUUAGAAAUUUUUUUUUUUUCA